rnacentral:misc_RNA from 1 species
GAGCUUACUCGGCAAGCACCAUCCAAGGUGGAUUGCGAAUUACCAUGAGCAUGAAACCCUUUUGCAAGAGAAUGAAGAGGAAAAGCUAACAAAGGAGGAGCAAGACAUGGCUUUGGGAGUAUAUAGGAGAUCAUNUGGGAGGAAGUGCAACGAGUUUCUCUUGAUGAAUCCACAUUCGAGCGAAAGCCACCCAUGCCAAGUGUUGUUCCUUCUGCACCAGAGACAAGCAGCUUGCCUACUUCAAGCAUGGCCCCUCCUGCACCUGAGGCUUCUAAUUCCAACGUUACACAUUACAAGG